rnacentral:tRNA from 1 species
UCCCUGGUGGCUCAGAAGGUAAAGCAUCUGCCUGCAAUGCAGGAGAUCCAGGAUUGAUCCCUGUGUUGGGAA